rnacentral:lncRNA from 1 species
AUGAGUGAGAGAAUCCAGGUUGGGGAAACAGCCCCAGAACGACCAAAAAGUCUCAAAUUUCUUUCAAAGCAUCAAAGUGCUCAGGAUAAAACAAAACAAACAAACAAAAAAAACAACCAACCAACCACACAAAAGUUAUCCAAGAAGAAAGGUAGGACUCAAUCUACAGAAUCAGAACACCUUGACCUUGGCUGCCAAAAUGCAAACUAAAAUAAAACACUUUUUCUUAGUUGUAUU